rnacentral:rRNA from 1 species
UACGUAGGGGGCAAGCGUUGUCCGGAUUUAUUGGGCGUAAAGAGCGUGUAGGCGGCCAGAUAGGUCAGCUGUGAAAGCUCGAGGCUCAACCUCGAGAUGUCGGCUGAAACCAUCUGGCUAGAGUCCGGAAGAGGAGAAUGGAAUUCCCGGUGUAGCGGUGAAAUGCGCAGAUAUCGGGAAGAACACCCAUGGCGAAGGCGGUUCUCUGGGACGGUACUGACGCUGAGACGCGAAAGCGUGGGGAGCAAACAGG